UAUUUCUCGACGACGCCCAAUUGACGGGUGUUGUGUAUGGUGGGACUCGUAGCACGACGCUCCCUUUUACCAGGCCUAACUUUGAUUGACUUUAGGGAAAUUCCCCCAUCAUCCGAGUUGUGAUGCGUCAUUUUUUUGCCUGUGU
rnacentral:misc_RNA from 1 species